rnacentral:tRNA from 1 species
UAGCUCAGCUGGGAGAGCACCUCCCUUACAAGGAGGGGGUCGGCGGUUCGAUCCUGUC